rnacentral:rRNA from 1 species
UACGUAGGGUGCGAGCGUUGAUCGGAAUUACUGGGCGUAAAAGCGUGCGCAGGCGGUUAUGUAAGACAGUUGUGAAAAUCCCCCGGGCUCAACCUGGGAAUUGCAUCUGUGACUGCAUAGCUAGAGUACGGUAGAGGGGGGAUGGAAUUCCGCGUGUAGCAGUGAAAAUGCGUAGAUAUGCGGAGGAACACCGAUGGCGAAGGCAAUCCCCCUGGACCUGUACUGACGCUCAUGCACGAAAAGCGUGGGGG